rnacentral:rRNA from 1 species
UACGUAGGGAGCAAGCGUUGUUCGGAUUUACUGGGCGUAAAGGGCGCGUAGGCGGCAUUUUAAGUCAUCUGUGAAAUCUCCGAGCUUAACUCGGAACUGUCAGCUGAUACUGAUGUGCUAGAGUGCGGAAGGGGCAAUCGGAAUUCUUGGUGUAGCGGUGAAAUGCGUAGAUAUCAAGAGGAACACCUGAGGUGAAGACGGGUUGCUGGGCAGUAACUGACGCUGAGGAGCGAAAGCGUGGGGAGCGAACAGG